UUUUUUGUUGUUGUGAGCAUUGCUUCCCCUCUCUCUGGAAUGGCAAUUUAAAACAUUUUCCACUCAACUCACAUCUGCAAUUUGCUUUCUUCUUGUUCCUGGCAGAUGUCUGACUUCACAGAAAAUUAAAAUAGAAACCAUGAAAGCGAACCACUUCAACUUCCUGCUGUCAUAUCUACAAGUCUACCUUAAUUUGCCCCUUUUCCUUUCCCCUCCCCAGCCGGCACAAAGGAGAAAGCAUCCCUUCUCCAAGUUACCUCUCCUCCGGACUGACUCUCUAGGCCACUAUCGUUCUCCGAAAACAACAGCCAGGUCGCACCCAGCUGACCUCUUUCCUGGCUCACAGUAGAGGCUUCGCCUACAGCACUCCAGUCUCUUCUUGUCUCCCUGCUCCAUCCAGACUGCAGCCAGAGGGAACAUGCAGCACAUAACUGGGGUCAUGUUACUGUCUUGUGCAAAACAUUUUUCAUGGCCUGAACUAUGUCUAACCCCCACAGCAUUCAUAUGUUGAAGCCCUAAAGCCUAGGACCUCAGAAUGCAACUGUAUUUGGAGAUAGAGUUUUUGAAGAGGUGUUUAAAAUGAGGUCAUUAUGGUGGCCCCCAAUCUAAUAGGACUGGUGUCCUUAUAGGAAAAGCAGAGUAGGACAUAGUCUCUCAUAGAGAAAAGACUACAUAAAGACAGCCAACAAUAAGCCAAGGAGGGAAGCCUCAGCACCCCUGCUAAUACUUUGAUCUUGGAUUUCUAGCCUCCAGAAGUGGAAAAAAGUUUUUUGGUUAAGCCACCCAAUCUCUGUGGUACUUGGUUAGGGUUCAGUUCAGUUCAGUCACUCAGUUGUGUACGACUCUCUGCGACCCCAUGAAUUGCAGCAUGCCAAGCCUCCCUGUCCAUCACCAACUCCCAGAGUCCACCCAAAUUCAUGUGCAUCGAAUUGGUGAUGCCAUCCAGCCAUCGCAUCCUCUGUCAUCCCCUUCUCCUCCUGACCCUAAUCCCUCCCAGCAUUAGGGUCUUUUCCAACGAGUCAAAUCUUCGUAUGAGGUGACCAAAGUACUGGAAUUUCAGCUUUAGCAUCAGUCCUUCCAAAGAAACCCCAGGGCUGAUCUCCUUCAGAAAGGACUGGUUGGAUCUCCUUGCAAGUCCCUUGAACUGCAAGGAGAUCCAAUCAGUCAAUCCUGAAGUAAAUCAACCAUGAAUAUUUAUUGGAAGGACUGAUGCUGAAGUUAAAGCUGCAAUACUUUGGCCACCUAAAGUGAAGAGCUGACUCACUGGAAGAGAUUCUGAUGAUGGGAAAGAUUGUAGGCAGAAGGAGAAGGGGACAACAGAGGAUGAGAUGGUUGGGUAGCAUCACCGACUUGAUGGAUAUGGGUGUGAGCAAACUCCAGGAGAUGGUGAAGCCUGGCGUGCUGCAGUCCAUGGGAUCGCAAAAAGUCAGACACAACUGAGUGACUGAGCAACAAAUUAUGGUACAGUAUUUCAUCUUGAAGUUGAAAGACUAGAUAACUCUUGAAGGGGAUAUGAAACUAUCUCAUGCAAGCAUCUUAGACUGAAAUGCUUCAAGUUUCUGGAGAGGAAAGAAGAUGAAUAAAAUGGCUGUGGGCACAGCGGCUUGAGAACUCUUGCCUUGUCUUAAGCACAGUGUCUAAUUAACUAUAGUCAAUCACGGCUAUGCGAUAACAAUCCCAGGAUUGGUAAAUCAUCCAGGUUAAAAGAGUGGUCAGAAAAUUGGAUUUUCACCUGAAAGCUCCAAAUAUGUAAACUCUAGUAGCUAAUUCUAAGUUAAACACUGUGUGAACCAAACAAAUAAGUUAGUUGGUGCCUAGUAUGCAAUUUCUUCUGUAAAACAGAGGCUACAUCAUAUCUAGAAAGAAAAUAUUAUGACUUACCAACUUCAUUUAACAGCAAAAUAAAAUGCAUAUAAGAUAAAUGUAAAUGUAAAAUGCACAUCCAGAUCAUAUGGUUUAGAGAAAUUUCUUGUGUAAAGAAUUCCUCCCUACCCAUGUCACUUAAGUCUGCUGGUUCUAGAGACGGGUUCCAGUCAUCACCACCCAUUUCCGUACCCUGACUCCCACCAAAACAGGUGCAGGGUCUUUUGUUUCCUCAAUGCUCACUUCUUUGCUCAUUGUCCAGGAAAAAGUGUUUUUUGGUUUCUGAAUGUCCUGGAAUAUCAGGAGAGUCAGAGAGGUGACUCAAGGACAUUUUCAGAUUAUGGACAACGUCAUUCAUGCUGGGCACAUACAGAGGGAAUUGAUGGCAGAGAGGCAGAUGUCUCUGCCUGACAAUAGCAGGAAAGUGGAAAGAAUGGCUCUCAGCUUUGUUGGCCUCAGUGCAUAUGGAACAAGCAUGGGCUGGCCAGCUUACAUAUGACCACUCAGCUCCUGGACAGCCCCAGAGCACCAGUGACCAUGAAAACUGAGUAAUCUGCUAUGCAGAUCUAGCUCUUGGCUGAAAAGCUGAGAGCAAGGCCCUUUUGGGGCUUCCCUGGUGGCUCGAACAGUAAUAGACCUGCCUGCAAAGCAAGAGGCCCAGGUUCAGUCCCUGGGUUGGGAAGAUCAUC
ensembl:lncRNA